rnacentral:rRNA from 1 species
GACGAACGCUGGCGGCGUGCUUAACACAUGCAAGUCGAACGGUAAGGCCCCUCGGGGUACACGAGUGGCGAACGGGUGAGUAACACGUGGGUGAUCUGCCCUGCACUUCGGGAUAAGCCUGGGAAACUGGGUCUAAUACCGGAUAGGACCACUGCCUGCAUGGGUGGUGGCGGAAAGCUUUUGCGGUGUGGGAUGGGCCCGCGGCCUAUCAGCUUGUUGGUGGGGUGAUGGCCUACCAAGGCGACGACGGGUAGCCGGCCUGAGAGGGUGACCGGCCACACUGGGACUGAGAUACGGCCCAGACUCCUACGGGAGGCAGCAGUGGGGAAUAUUGCACAAUGGGCGCAAGCCUGAUGCAGCGACGCCGCGUGAGGGAUGACGGCCUUCGGGUUGUAAACCUCUUUCAGCACCGACGAAGCGCAAGUGACGGUAGGUGCAGAAGAAGGACCGGCCAACUACGUGCCAGCCGCCGCGGUAA